GAUGAAGAACGCAGCGAAAUGCGAUAAGUAAUGUGAAUUGCAGAAUUCAGUGAAUCAUCGAAUCUUUGAACGCACAUUGCGCCCGCCAGUAUUCUGGCGGGCAUGCCUGUUCGAGCGUCAUUUCAACCAUCAAGCCCCAGGCUUGUGUUGGGGACCUGCGGCUGCCGCAGGCCCUGAAAACCAGUGGCGGGCUCGCUGUCAAACCGGGCGUAGUAGAUUUUAUCUCGCUCAGGGCGUGCUGCGGGUUCCGGCCGUUAAAAAGCCUUUUUUACCCAAGGUUGACCUCGGAUCAGGUAGGAAGACCCGCUGAACUUAAGCAUAUCAAUAAGCGGAGGA
rnacentral:misc_RNA from 1 species